AUGCAGUCGAACGAAGUAGCAAUACUUAGUGGCAGACGGGUGAGUAACAUGUAGGUAUCUACCCUUUGGCCUGGAAUAACACGAGGAAACUUGUGCUAAUACCGGAUAAGUCUUUACGGAGAAAGCUUUAUGCACCAUUGGAUGAGCCUGCACUAGAUUAGUUUGUUGGUGGGGUAAUGGCCUACCAAGACUGUGAUCUAUAGCUGAUUUGAGAGGAUGAUCAGCCACAUUGGGACUGAGACACGGCCCAAACUCCUACGGGAGGCAGCAGUAGGGAAUAUUGCACAAUGGAGGAAACUCUGAUGCAGCGAUGCCGCGUGAGUGAAGAAGGCCUUUGGGUUGUAAAGCUCUUUCGUCGGGGAAGAAAAUGACUGUACCCGAAUAAGAAGGUCCGGCUAACUUCGUGCCAGCAGCCGCGGUAAUACGAAGGGACCUAGCGUAGUUCGGAAUUACUGGGCUUAAAGAGUUCGUAGGUGGUUAAAAAAGUUGGUGGUGAAAUCCCAGAGCUUAACUCUGGAACUGCCAUCAAAACUUUUUAGCUAGAGUAUGAUAGAGGAAAGCAGAAUUUCUAGUGUAGAGGUGAAAUUCGUAGAUAUUAGAAAGAAUACCAAUUGCGAAGGCAGCUUUCUGGAUCAUUACUGACACUGAGGAACGAAAGCAUGGGUAGCGAAGAGGAUUAGAUACCCUCGUAGUCCAUGCCGUAAACGAUGUGUGUUAGACGUUGGAAAUUUAUUUUCAGUGUCGCAGCGAAAGCAAUAAACACACCGCCUGGGGAGUACGACCGCAAGGUUAAAACUCAAAUGAAUUGACGGGGACCCGCACAAGUAGUGGAGCAUGUGGUUUAAUUCGAAGAUACGCGCAGAACCUUACCAACACUUGACAUGUUCGUCGCGACUCUAGAGAUUAGAGUUUUCGGUUCGGCCGGACGAAACACAGGUGCUGCAUGGCUGUCGUCAGCUCGUGUCG
rnacentral:rRNA from 1 species